rnacentral:lncRNA from 1 species
AACUCAGAAAGAAUUUAAUUAGCUUGCUCAACAUUACACAGCUGGUAAUGGCCUGACUCAGCAUAGGGCAUGGACAAGCAAUUCAGAAAAGAAGAAACAGAGUGACCAGUAGACUGGUAUUAGAGAAGCACGUAUUAAAAGAAUGACAUGCUUGGAGUUCCCACUGUGAUGCCGUGGGUUAAGAAUCUGACGGCAGCAGCUAAGGGUCCCUAUGGAGGCAUGGUUUCAGCUCGGCAGUGGGCUAAAGGGUCUGAUGUCCAAUCCCUGGCCCUGGAACUUCCAUAUGCCUUGGAUGCCGCCAUAAAACAAAAAACAGUUACAUACUAUGUACACCUAUCAAGUUGUCAGCAAUCUAAAAGUCUGGCAAUACUAAUGUGGCAAAAGAUGUGAUGGGUAAGUAAUACAACCUCUAUGCAAGCAUUUGGGGACUAUCUAGUGAAGAUGAGAAUGCACACAUGCUAUGCCUCAGCCACAUAGCAUGGCAGUGUCCACUCAUGAGAAACUCUCAUGUGCACAAGGAGACGUGUGCAAGGAUGUCCAGUUUCAGUGACUUUCAAAAAUGCACGAUGCAAAAGUCCAUCACCGAAGGAACAGAGGUUCUACAAUGGAGUAUCCUUAUAAAUGUGCCCUUACGGUCAGAGCUUAAAGGCACAAUGAUGAGUGAAAAAAGCAAAUUAUGCCUUUUUCUUCUAGAGAGAUGGAGCAGAGGUACUUUUUCCUAUUCUUCCCACUAAAAACACUGUGUGUUACCCAGAAAAUGUACAAAGAUUCUGAAAGGUGGAGAGAAGAAGGCAGACUGGUUGGGGACCUCAGGACCCAAAGAAUGACCUGGUGGUAAAUUCCCUUUGCCUCAAAGAUCCCAGACUGGAUACUGCAAAAGCCAGCAACUCUGAAACAGCAAUGAAUGCAAACCAAAACAGCCCUAGCAAAAGUCAGCCCUCUCCAUCUGAGAACCAAGAAAGGGUCAGCCUAGCAAGACAGAACAUUUUUAGAGAAUAAACACUGUGCUUCAGCAAAAUACCAUAGAUCAUGCUAUUGCCCCAUCCCAACCCCAGCCAACAAAGGCUGAGUGGGAGCCUAGAUGUUCACUCUUGCCAGCCUAUAGGAAGAUGUGUGACUGUACUGCCGUGGUGACGUUAGCAGAGACUGAGUGAGGGGCCAGGACUUCCCUCUCCAUGGAGGGGUAACCAACCCCUCGCAUGGUGUCCUGGAGACCAUGUGAGAAGCCCUGCACUUGCACCCCCCCACCCCCCAGCAGAAAUGACAGAGCUCUCAUUGCUCACUGGUGUCACUGGAGUCCACAUGGGGAACAGUAAGAAAGCACUGCUAACUCACUCAGCCAGCAAAGUGCCAGGGAAGGUUGGCGGGAAGCCAGAACUCCCACGGCCACCAGCAGCGAUGAGGACCCACUCCUACUUCAGUGUCAGUGGAGUCCAUCUGUGAUCUGAGACUGGUGUUCACACCCGAUUGGACACUUCUCUUACCGGAGCAAUGUCAGAGAAAGCCAGCUAAAACAUAAAGUUUAAAAAGAUUUGGAGAUGGGAAACACAAUACACAAAAUGUCCAGGUUUCAAAUGAAAAUCACUCAGCACACCGAGAACCAGGAUGAUCUCAAAUGAAUAAUAAGUUAAUCGAUGGAUACCAAUACCAAGAUGACCAAGGGGUUGGAAUAAUCAUACAAAGGUGUUGGAGCAGCCAUCAUAAAAAUACUUCAACAAGCAGUUACAGACACGCUUAAAACAAAUGAAAAAUAGUAUCACCAGAGAUUUCUCACUCAUCACAUGUAGAAGAAAGGUCAUAUGAGGACACAGCAAGAAGGUAGCCAUCUACAAGGGAGGGAGAGAGUCCCGCUAGAGCUCAACCCUGCUGGCACCUUGCUCUUGGACUUCAAGCUCCCAGAACUGUGAGAAAUAAAGAAGCCCCUGCCCCAGUCUGUGACAUUCCAUUAUGACAACCUAAGCAGACUGAUACAGAGCUCAAUAGAAUGCAUGUUCUAAGUUGUCUUUCUCUCUUUUGGGGAUGAAUAUAUUUCAUAUGAACUGUUUGGACUCUCUAAAAAACAAACAAACAAAAAAGUCUCAGCAAAGCCAAAUUGGAAUUUUAGAACUGAAAGAUGUGAUAAGCAAAAUUUACAACUCAGUGGAUGGGCUUAACAGCAGAAUGAAGGGGAGAAAGGAAUGAAGCAGUGCGCUGAAAGACAGAACAAUAGAAAUGAUACAAUCAGAACAACAGAAAGAAAAUUAGAAAAAAAUAAUGAGCAGAGCCUCAGGGACCUGUAAGAUAAUAACAAAAGAUCUAACAUGUACACAGAAUUCUCAAAUCAAUAAUUAAAAAAUCCAAUCAGAAAACAAGAAGAUACAGAGAUGCCAGCUAAACACGUGAAAUGUGUUUAACUUCAUUAGCCAGGAAGGAGGAAAGGAAUCAUUUAUUGAGUCCUGGUGUGGCACAUAUUGUAUUAGGCAUUUGUGCCAUUUCCUUAGACAAGGAUCCCGGGAGUUUAUGGUCAGCCGCAUAAGCAGAGAAAGUCUCGGACAAAUAGUAUUCAGGAUAGAAAGUGGUAAGUGUCUCAGUAGGAAGAAAAUGAUGUCAUCUGGGGUUCACAACUUCUAGCCAACAUCCCUCAGGAAAGAUAUGGCUGACAUUUCAUGUAAAGAAUGAGUAGAUUUGUGGCAAGAGGAAACAUGGCGAGAAGAUAUUUCAGAGGGAGGAAGAAGCAGGACCAAGCCUUGGAGUUGGGAGCGCAUGAGAGUUCACUGGGGUUGGCACAGCCUGGGUGAAAAGGAGAAGAUAAAGGGAAUGCUGGAACAAACUAAAUGGACCUUCUCCUAGGCUGCCAUGGAGAAGAGUCAAGUGCUCAUUCUGUCAUUCUGAUGGCUGAUGAAACAUAGAGACUGGAGUUAAUGGAAGAAAGCUAAGGACCCAAGGAGUAGCUGUCCAUCUUCCCUCCCUGAAGAAAUAUGUGUGCCAGAAGAUAAUCUACCUACUAUAGAUUCAUUUGAUUUCCAAGCUCCUCUUUGAAAAAGUCAAUACUCUCACAGGUUUGGGAUUGGAAGAAUGGUGGUGAAAUGAUUUUUGGAGUUAUGCUUUAUCUUUGUCAACCAAAUGUUUCAAGAGUAGCUUAUUCCAUUUGCAAGCUUUUCUUUUUUUUUUUUUUUUAUGGCUGCACCCAUGGCAUAUGAAAGUUCCCAGGCUGGGGGUCGAAUUGGAGCUGCAGUUGCAGGCCCCUGCCACAGCUACAGCAACGCCAGAUCUGAGCCACAUCCACGACCUGCACAGCAGCUUGUGGCAAUACCAGAUCCUUAACCCACUGAGUGAGGCAAGGGAUCCAACCCGCAUCCUCACGGAUACCGGUUGGGUUCUUAACCCACUGAGCCACAACAGGAACUCCCAUUUGCAAGCUUCUAGAUAAUCCAUCAGAGUAACAGGUAAGGAAAAUAUCAGAGCCAUCUCUCUAAAGGGAUUUGCUCAUGUCCGUGGAAAUUUCCAUCACAGAACUUCAACAUAAAUUUAUAUAAUAAGUAUGUGACCCUGAGCACAGAGGAAAAAUAGAUUCUUUUCUGAAAGCUUGAAUUAAAAAAUUGAAGAUCAGCAGAGCCACCUUCCCAUCAAGCCUAGCAAAUAAUUUCAACACUGAGCAUCAGCAUAUCUACCCGACUGCCCAACCCCAUUCUAUGGAACAGAUUAGUUCUGGAUAUAGAACAUUGCUUCUCUAACUUUAAUGGGCAUGCAGAUUAAUGCUGAUCUCUUUGAACUACAGAUUCUGAUCCAGUAGGUCUAAGUGGGACCCAAGAUUCUCAUUUCUAAAAGCUCUCAAGUUCCCGUCGUGGCUCAGUGGUUAACGAAUCCGACUAGGAACCAUGAGGUUGCGGGUUCAAUCCCUGGCCUUGCUCAGUGGGUGAAGGAUCCGGUGUUGCCGUGAGCUGUGCUGCAGGUCGAAGACGCGGCUCAGAUCCCGCGUGGCUGUGGCUCUGGUCCGAUUCGACCCCUAGCCUGGGAAUGUAGGUGUGGCCCUAAAAAGCAAUAAAAUAAAAUAAUAAAAUCUCUAAAAGCUCUCAGAUGCUGACAGUGCUGGUGCCCGGACCACAUGUGAAUCCUGAAAAUACAGACUGGGCUAUGGCACCAUGUAGAACUGUCCAAAUUCCAACUAAAAAACUUGCCAGUUUUGUGGCCUUGGGAAAAUUGUUUAACCUCUCUGAGGCUCAGUUUUCUCAUCAGUAAAAUGGAAAUAUAAAUACAUAUCUUGCAAAAUUAGUGGGAAGAUAAGAAGUAAUGUAUUAAAAACCAUUUGGCCAAGGUCCUGACACAGAGUAGGCACUCAACACAUGAUAACAGGUAGUACUUAGGGUCCAUGGGCAUCCUUAUCAAAGAGAAUCUGCCUGCUAUGUAUUUGCAGCAAGAGAGAGUUGUGAGUUACUGUUUUAGCACAUAAUUAAGAGAGAGAUUUUCAUUGCUUCCCAUUGGGGAAAAAAAGUCUCCAGGUAUUCAUUUGCUCUGUGGGAAUAUUUGCAUUCCCUCGUGGGCUGUUCUUGGUUUAUAUUCAUGUGCUUCUAUCUGUUGGAUCUUAAUAUUUGAUGUAUUUUAACAGUUGGUUUAACAGUGAGCGGCAUAUCCACAGGAAGGCCUAUUUCAGAGAAUAAUCAAUGAGCAUAAAACAACUUAAAAUGAUGAUAUGAGGUUAACUGUGACAUUCAUUCAAUAAUUUUACAAGGCUGGUCUUUUUCAUCUUUAACCCAUCCAUACAAAGCAGGAACUGGAGAGGUUUUGGUUUUACAGCCACACCUGCGGCAUGUGGAUGUGCCCGGGCCAGGGGUCUAAUUGGAGCUGCAGGUUCCAGCCUAUACUACAGCCACUGCAAUACCGGAUCAGAGCUGUAUCUGCAACCUAUGCCACAGCAUGCAGCAAAGCUGGAUCCUUAACCCACCAAGUGAGGCCAGGGAUGGAAACAGCAUCUUCACAGCUUCCAUGUUGGGUUCUUAACCCACUGAACCACACGGGAACUCCAGACUGCAGAGGUUUGGGGAGCUAUCAAGCACUGCCACUUGUGUGUGAUCCUCCAGUGGGUUAGUAGAAAAUAGGGUCCAUGAUGGCUUGUAUACAUAGACUUAGUGUACCCUGUACAGUUGGUUAGAAGUCUCCCUCCUGUGUGGCCACAGGAGAUAGGCUCCUGUGGGGCUUGGAAGCACCAGUCAUGUUGACACUUGCAAGUAUUCCAUGUUUUACUCUAUUUGGUUGUCUCUCUCUGCUUGGUUGGUGGAGAGUAGGUGGGGUGCAGAUGAGGGGAGUUGCUGCACAGCUGGUGGCCCAGCCUCAUUAGAGGCCCAGCCAGAUCCACAGCUUCCCUCUCCCAAGAGUUCAGCACCUCUUUGGUUUCCUCAUUUUCAUAAUAUUUGAACUAUAUUUCCAACAAUUCAAAACAUGGUUCUUAAAAAUGCCCCCAGCUUAGGAGUUCCCACCAUGGCUCAGUGGUUAACAAAUCCCACUAGGAACCAUGAAGUUGCAGUUUUGAUCCUGGUGUCGCUCAGUGGGUUAAGAAUCCGACAUUGCUGUGAGCUAUGGUAUAGGUCACAGAUGUGGCUCAGAUCUGGCGUUGCUGUGGCUAUGGCAUAGGCUGGCGGCUGCAGCUCCGAUUAGACCCCUAGCCUGGGAAAACUCCAUAUGCCACAGGUACGGCCCUAGAAAAGACAAAAAAAAAAAAAAAAAAAAAAA